UACAGAGGUCUCAAGCGUUGUUCGGAUUCAUUGGGCGUAAAGGGUGCGUAGGCGGCGAGGCAAGUCUGGUGUGAAAUCCCGGGGCUCAGCCCCGGAACUGCACUGGAUACUGCUUUGCUAGAGUACUGGAGAGGGAACUGGAAUUUACGGUGUAGCAGUGAAAUGCGUAGAUAUCGUAAGGAAGACCAGCGGCGAAGGCGAGUUCCUGGACAGUUACUGACGCUGAGGCACGAAGGCCAGGGGAGCAAACGGG
rnacentral:rRNA from 1 species